UGGGAUUGCCUGAAGAAGCGGAUGCGCUGCUUGCUCUACAACACGCAAAUAUAACGGCUGUCCGCACUAUUGGCAAACACACGAAGACAAUUGAUUCGAUGGUCGGCUGGCCAGGCGUGUGUGUGUUGCACAUCCUUUUGGACAAAGCUCGGCGCUGCAAGCGGAACAGUGUCUUGGCCACCAGCGUCCGAGAGCGGCGUUUAGCCAACUUCCUCUUCGGGGCUGCAGGAUUGUGAACUCGGCGAAGACGACAACCGCGAAAACACGUCAAGGGAGCCUUCAACGCUGUGGAGAGCCGGAGACAUAUCUGCUGCCAACAUUUCCGCACACAUCUGGUCACCACUAAUAAAUAAAUGGAGAAUAAAUAAAUGAAUAAGGACCGUUAGAAUCCUUUGAUUGCGCCA